rnacentral:rRNA from 1 species
AUUUUUUUAAGAUUUUCAUUUAAAAUAAAACCUGCUCAAUGUUAAUAUAAAUAGCUGCAAAAUAUUUGUACUAAGGUAGCAUAAUCAUUAGCUUUCUAAAUAAAAGAUAGAAUGAAUGGUUAAACGAGUCACAUACUGUUUCAUAAACGAAAAUUAAUUUAAAUUAAAAGUAAAAAUUCUUUUAUUAAUAAGAAAGACGACAAGACCCUAAUAAACUUACAUAUUUAGCUGGGGAGGCUAAAUAAUAAUAUCUUAAUUAAAAACUUCACUUAACUUUAUUAAAAAUAUAGAUAAAGUUACUAUAGGGAUAACAGCGCAAUAUUAAUUAAAAGAUCAUAUUAAAAUUAAAAUUUUACGACCUCGAUGUUGAAUUAAUUUUAUCUUUAAAAAGCAAAAAUUUUAAAAGAAAGUCUGU